rnacentral:sRNA from 1 species
UGUAUCUGAAGCCUGACGAGGAUGAGAACCUCCGGGGGCAAGAGGUUCGACCCGAGCGAAGCGAGAGAACGUUGCGUCAGCAACGGCCCGCAGGGCGAGCCACGCAG